UGUUUCCAAAAUGGCGGCCCAUGCAGCGGCGGCUCUGUUGGAUGAAUUAAUGGGAAGGGACCGAAAUUUGCAGCCCACUGAAAAGAGAAGUGAAUUGAAAUGGGAUGAUCCAGAAGUUUGCAAAUACUUUUUGUGUGGGUUUUGUCCUCAUGAGUUAUUUGUUAAUACAAGAGCAGAUCUUGGAAAUUGUGAAAAAAUUCAUGAUGAUGUAUUACGAAAAGAGUAAGUAAUAA
rnacentral:lncRNA from 1 species